rnacentral:rRNA from 1 species
GCCGUCCCCCUUCCCCGUCCCGGCCCGACUCACGACUACCUACCGACGGAGGCAGCAGUGGGGAAUCUUGCACAAUGGACGAAAGUCUGAUGCAGCAACGCCGCGUGGGGGAUGAAGGCUUCUCGGAGUGUAAACCCCUUUCGAACCCCGGAAGAAUGCCCGCAAGGGUUUGACGGUACGGGUAUAAGAAGCCCCGGCUAACUACGUGCCAGCAGCCGCGGAAUUC